UGGAUUCUCUUUCUCUACUCUAAAUGAUUUUGGAUUAAAUCCUCAUAAAUGUGCAAUACUUCGAGGUCAUGUUGUACUACUCUUCUCUAAGUCUAUGGGUAUUCUUCUAUAUGGUUUAUAAAUGUUUCUUUUUUUUGUUAGAUGAGUAUUGUUUUGUUGCCUAAUUAAACUAGUUAAAAGUAUGAAUUUUUAUGUUAAAAGAGUGUGUGUGUGUGUGUGUGUGUG
rnacentral:misc_RNA from 1 species